rnacentral:rRNA from 1 species
AACCAGCACCUCAAGUGGUCAGGAGGAUUAUUGGGCCUAAAGCAUCCGUAGCCGGCUCUGUAAGUUUUCGGUUAAAUCCAUGCGCUCAACGCAUGGGCUGCCGAAAAUACUGCAUAGCUAGGGAGUGGGAGAGGUAGACGGUACUCGGUAGGAAGGGGUAAAAUCCUUUGAUCUAUCGAUGACCACCUGUGGCGAAGGCGGUCUACCAGAACACGUUCGACGGUGAGGGAUGAAAGCUGGGGGAGCAAACCGGAUUAGAUACCCGGGUAGUCCCAGCUGUAAACGAUGCAGACUCGAUGAUGCAUUGGCWUAUAGCCAGUGCAGUGUCGCAGGGAAGCCGUUAAGUCUGCCGCCUGGGAAGUACGUACGCAAGUAUGAAACUUAA